CAGUCGCCACGGUAAUACAGAGGGUGCGAGCGUUAAUCGGAUUUACUGGGCGUAAAGCGUGCGUAGGCGGCUUUUUAAGUCGGAUGUGAAAUCCCUGAGCUUAACUUAGGAAUUGCAUUCGAUACUGGGAAGCUAGAGUAUGGGAGAGGAUGGUAGAAUUCCAGGUGUAGCGGUGAAAUGCGUAGAGAUCUGGAGGAAUACCGAUGGCGAAGGCAGCCAUCUGGCCUAAUACUGACGCUGAGGUACGAAAGCAUGGGGAGCAAACAGGAUUAGAUACCUUAGUAGUCCCUGUCUCUUAUAC
rnacentral:rRNA from 1 species